GUGGAGACUUACCCAGUGCCAAGGGACAUCAGUGCUGGAUUCAGGUACGUCACUGAAGGGGUUUUAACCCCUUCACCAACAUGGGAUGGGGGGUAGACAGGAGGGGGGCACUGCAGGAUCCUGCAGUGUCAGAAAAACGGUUUGUUUUCCAGACACUGGAGAGUCCCUUUAACUGGAAAUGAAAAACUGUAGAAACUUGAGCAUUCUGGUAACU